CGGAUCUCAGAACCAUAAUGGACUGCAGAGUGAUAAAAAAAAAUAAAAAAAUCUAAUUCAAAUCUUUCCAGGUUAAACUUCCCGCCGUUUCAGUAUAUUCUUGCUGCAUUUGAUUAGUUUCUUUUGUCAUUGUUUUUGGCCACCAUCCAGCAGAGGGCGCCACUGGUCAUCCUUAAGCGGAGCCGUUGAUACAGAAACAAAGACGCCGGAAGCCAUACCAGAACGGGAAAGAGAAACGCUGGAAGAGAGUGCAAUUCUGUUUGAAAUAAAUACUCUACAAUCUC